rnacentral:rRNA from 1 species
UACGUAGGGGGCGAGCGUUGUCCGGAAUUAUUGGGCGUAAAGAGCGUGUAGGCGGCCAAGCAGGUCCGCUGUGAAAACUCGAGGCUCAACCUCGAGACGUCGGCGGAAACCAUCUGGCUAGAGUCCGGAAGAGGAGAGUGGAAUUCCUGGUGUAGCGGUGAAAUGCGCAGAUAUCAGGAAGAACACCCGUGGCGAAGGCGGCUCUCUGGGACGGUACUGACGCUGAGACGCGAAAGCGUGGGGAGCGAACAGG